ACAAUAAACAGAGAAAUAAAAAUAUUUUCUAUUUCUUAAAAAUGUAACUUUUCGGACUUGUUUGGUUUCUGUAGGAAAUCCUUCGAUUAAACUGCUAUAACAUGAUAAUGACCAAUUCGCUGACCUGAAAAUGGCCUUCGACCGUGUAGACAGAGAGAUACUGUGAAAGAAACUACAGAGAAUGGGAAUUACAAGAGAAGAUGAUAAGAAGAAUGGAACAAAUAUAUAUAAGACAAAGAUGAUAAUAAAGACAGGACAAAGCUAUACGAGAGCUUCAGGGUAAAGAAAGAAGAAAGGCAGGACUGUUGAGGCCACUCUUAUUUAAUUUGUAUAUGGCAGAUGUGGAGAAGAAAUUGAAAGACAGAGACUUAGGUGGAGUAAAAAUGGAUAGAAUUAGAAUAUAGCAUUUGGCGUAUGCAAAGGAUAUAGCGUUAAUGACAAAGUUAGACAUAAUAGAAAUUUUUUAAAUAGGAAAUUGGAGUUAUGUGCAGACAAAACUAAGAUGCUGGUUUGCUUUUAAUAGAAAGACAAAGAAAGAAAAAAAAACAGAUUUGGGAAGAGAAAAUAAUUGAGAAGGUACAAGAGUUUAUAUACUUAGGAUUUAUAAUAAAAGUAUAACAAGGGCAAGUCUAAAAAGUAUAUUAAGGAAUUAAGUAGAAAAAGCAAAAUGGUGGCAAGACAAGUAUGGGGUUUAGAGGAAAGAAUAUACAGAAACAAUUUUAAAAGAAAAUGGACACUGUUUAAGUACUUAAUACAAAGCGUCAUGGCAUGAGAUGGAGAUUUGAGGACGAGAAGAAAAAGAAGAAUUAGAAAAUAUUAUAUUUAACUAUGUGAAGUGGAUGUUCAGUUUAGAUUUCUGUAUCACAAAGUACAUAAUUAUAAGAGAAUUAGGAAUGGAAAAAUUGAAAGAACGAGGAAAUACGAAGAAAGAAUGAGGACAGGAGGGGGGGGGGAAUGUAACCAAGGAAUGUUGGGAUAAGAAAGAAAGAUAUGAUUGGAAGGAUAAUUACAAGGAAAAAAGAGAGAAGUAUUACAAUAGGAAUAUAUGAGAGUAUAGAAGCAAGGGAGCUGAAAGAAAAAGGAAAGGAAGAAAUGGAGGUAGAAUUAAUAUUAAAGGAAAAGGAUAUGUAAAGACAAUGGAGAAAAAAAAGUAGAAUAGCAAAGGCAAGGUAUAACACGAGGUACAAAAAUAUAAUGAUAAAUGUUAAAAGUCCUAGCUAUUUAGAAAAAGAAAAACUAGAGGAAGUGAAUAAGGAUGACAAAGUAAGAACUUUGAUGAAACUUAGGUUUUCGCGGAAAUUUAGAGGAAGCGAAUAAGUAUUGAUUGAAGGAGAGACAUUAGGCUUGUAUAUUCUGCUAAAAAGGUAAGGAGUACAUGGAACAUUAUGUAAAGGAGUGCGAGUAUACGAAAGACUGAUUUAUAGAAUUAGGUUAGGAAUGGGGAGAAAAUUAUAAAUAGGAUCUGGACGGAAAAGCUAGAUAGGACAAAGGAUAGGAUAUUGAAAAAAUGUUAAUAAGUAUAAAGGUUUAAGAAUAAAAAUGUAAAUAUAAAAGGUAAAAAAAUGUAUAAAUGUAAAAGAUAUAAAUGUAUAUAAAACGAUAUAGGCAUAGAGAAAGUAAAGUUCUAUUAUGUGUAAGAAAAUAGCUCAAAAACAGUAGAAAAAUGUAUAGAAAUGUAAAAAUGUAAGAAAACAUAGAAA